UACGUAGGGGGCUAGCGUUGUCCGGAUUUAUUGGGCGUAAAGGGCUCGUAGGCGGUUUGUCGCGUCGGGAGUGAAAACACCGGGCUUAACUCGGUGCUUGCUUUCGAUACGGGCAGACUAGAGGCAUGCAGGGGAGAACGGAAUUCCUGGUGUAGCGGUGAAAUGCGCAGAUAUCAGGAGGAACACCGGUGGCGAAGGCGGGUCUCUGGGCCGAUACUGACGCUGAGGAGCGAAAGCGUGGGGAGCGAACAGG
rnacentral:rRNA from 1 species